GCUCUCACCUUCAGUAUUGUUAACCGCAACAAUCAUUCAGUCGAUAAGAGCCCUUUGCUCUUCUCCAACCCUCAUUAUCUCGUCCCUUUUCUCGAGCUAUAUCUGUACAAGGAUGGUAAUAUUCCCGAUAUAGACUCUAUGCCUUGCCCACGAAUCCUCGCUACUCAUCUCCCUUAUCAAUUCCUUCCUAGCAGCAUCUUGGAUUGCUCCAAUUGUCGAAUCAUCUACCUGUGCCGAAACCCUUUGGAUGUGUUCACUUCAGUGUUGCAAUUCUUCCUGCAAAAUGGUCAUAUUUCAAGCCCAUCGAUGUCUAUUGAUGUACCUUUUGAAGAGUUUUGUCAGGGCAUACACGCGUAUGGUCCAUUUUGGGACCAUUGUUUAGGAUAUUGGGAUGCAAGCUUGAAAAACCCUCAAAAAGUGUUGUUUUUGAAGUAUGAGGAUCUAAAAAAGGAUAUCAAUAGCUCCGUGAAGAAGAUGGCUGACUUCUUAGGAUAUCCAUUUUCAGCUGAGGAAGAGGAAGCAGGUUUGGUUGAAGAGAUAGCAACGCUUUGUAGCUUCGAAAAUCUUAAGAAUUUGAACUGUAACAAAGAGGGGGAGAUACAAACUGUUUUUAGAGCUAAGCAUAAUUCCUUUUUCAGGAAAGGAGAAGUCGGUGAUUGGGUGAAUUUGGUUCCUCCAUCCAUGGCCAACCGACUCGAAAAACUGAUGCAAGAAAAGUUUGGUGAAUCAGGGUUGACACUGGAUAUCCAUGGCAAUUCUGUCGGCUGAAGAUGAAUGUUGGAUGGGACGGAUCCAUGUUUCAACAGUUUUUCCUCAAAAAACAAAGAAAACAAAAUAAAAGGCCUAAUUCAGUUACGUUCAAAUUGUUUGUUGCUUAUUGUUGUGUAAGUGUGUGUUUGUAUUAAUUACUUUUCAUUAAGUUAUUGUAAGACCAAAAUUAUCAGUUUUGGAACAUGUUAGUAUAUAUCUGUGCAAAUGCGCGUUUCCCAGGGCUUACUGCAAUAGUUUAUCACUUUUUGAUCUUUUCAAUCAUUUUUUUAUCUCAUAUCCAUCACAUUAUAAAAAUUAUUACAGUGAUUAUUUUAAAUAAUAUUUCAAAUAAUCUUCUAUCCAAGCACACGCUUUAUUUAUUGUUUUCGGAAAUCAACUAUCCAAAAUAAACAAAACAUUGAUUAGUUACAAUUUGGGGAAUCGCUAAUUACUAUGUGACCUUAAAUAUUUCAAAUUCCUGAUUUUUGGAUGUGUGAUCUCGCCUAAUCCAAACAAGGAUGUUUUGUUUACACCACACAUUCGACUAAUUCUUAAUCAUUAAUUGUUUGGUUCACUACAGACUAAAACUAAAAAAAAAAAAAAAAAAACUUAAUUCUUUUUUUGACCACCAAAAGUGAGAAGGGUACUACUAUCGGUAAACAAAAUUUUGCGCACAAUUCUAUGAGCAAAAUCAUUAUUUGAUUGGUUGAGACCCCAAAAAUCUCCCUUGCUGGAAAAUUUUUUUAAAAUCAUUAUUCCAUUGGUCCUCUCUCUAGGGUAGGAAUAGUGGCCCCCACUUCUUCUAGACUUUUUCAAUUUACGUAGAAUUCAAACACAAUUUACAAAACCAUCUCCAGACUAGAAACCGCAACAAGACUUAAUACCUUUUUUUAAUUUUUCUAAAAUGAUAAGACCACUACCAGCAUACAAAAGUUUGAGCACAAUUCUAAGAGAAAAUCGUUAUCUCCAUUUGAAGAAGUAAGAAAAAGAGUUAAACGGCUCAAAGUGGGAGUGAAAUUUUUUAUUGUACUCUAAAUUGCUCAAUUCCUUAGUUUGGAAAAGGCAAUGCAAGUAAUCUCAAUUGGUCCACAAACUUUGUCAUAAGUUAAAAUUCUUCCCACAUCGAGCCACUAACUAGCGUCUAUUAUCGUUCCUCUAACUCCUAUGCCUUGCUACCUGAUAUGGGUAGUACGGCAUAUAAUAAUAAUAAUACUAAUAAUAAUAAUAAUUACUCCUAUCAAUUUUUACUAUAAUAAUUUUAAAAUUUUUUGUAAGGUAGAACUUUACAUCGAGAUGCACAUUAAAGACAUACAUAUCAUGAUUAUCUAACCUGUGGUACCUCACACAUUAAAGCACCUACUCUAUUUUCUGUAGACAGCUAUGAUCCAAUGGAAUUAAUAUAGAAUCCUUUUCCACCAAUUAAAUAUGACAAGACUUCAAGUAUGGUUACCCUCUCACUCUCAUCGACCGUAUGAUUGAUGAUUACAUUGCAAACUUUUGAGUAACUAUAUGUGAUAAAAGUGGAGGGUAGGGAGUGAUAGAGUAGAGAAAUGAGAAAAUGAAAAGAAUGUUGUAUUAGAUAAAAUUAUGUAUGUCUACAAGUAUAUGAGGUGCCUUAUAUAGAUAUGGUAAGAUAUGAUAAAUGUAGUGGUUAUGGUAGUUGGUAGAUGUUGUAAAUACAUGUAGUUAGUAGUGGUUGAAUACACUAGAUACAAGAUAGAAAACUCAAAAAAUAUGAGUUAGAUAGUAGCUAUAUUUACAUCUAACAUCCCCCUCAAAUUCAAGGUGAUAAAGGGGAAACCAAAACUUGAGUUUGGAAAUGAAAAUAUGAAACUGUCCCGUGAAUGGGAUUUUGUGAAAAAAUCCGCAAUUUGGUCUACAGACACCAUAGGUACCAAAGAAAGAGUUUGUUACAUAAGAUGGUGCUGAAUGAAAUGGCAGUCAAUCUCUAUGUGUUUCAUCCUUUCGUGGAAGACGUCAUUAUGAGCGAUUUGAUCAGCACUCUUAUUAUUACAAUAGAUAGGAGUACUGGUAGAGAAUGGAACACCCAUGUCAUGAAGGAGCCAGCUCAACCAUAGAAGCUCGGUAGCAGUAUCAGCAAGGGCACAAUACUCCGACUUUGAGCUAGAUCGAGAAACAACUAAUUGCUUCUUGCUUUGCCAAGAGAUAAGGGAAGCUCCAAGAAAGAAACAGUAACCUGUUGUAGAAUAACGGUUAGUAGGAUCACCAACCAAUCAACAUCAGAAUAUGCUCGUAACUCUAGAGAAGAAAAUGAGGAAAAAUGCAAUCCAUGAUAGAUGGUUCCUUUCACAUAGUACAAGAUUCGAAGAACUGCAGCAUAGUGAGUGGAACGUGGACUUGACAUGAAUUGGCUCACCAAGUGUACAGCAUAAGCUAUAUCUAAUUGAGUAACAGUUAAGUAGAUUAGACUCCCAAUUGACUGACUAUACCAAGUAGGGUCACUUAGAAAUUCUCCAUCAUUUGGACGUAACUUGAUAUUAGUUUCAAGUGAAGUGUCAACAGUUUUGGAAUAUGUUAUACCAGCACGAGAGAGAAGAUCUGAUGCAUACUUUGUUUGGGAUAAAUAGUAGCCUAUAAAAGGACUUGGAAACCUCAAGACCAAGAAAGUAUGAGACUGUUCCCAAAUUCUUCAUCUCAAAUUGUGUGCUAAGACAUUCCUUUAAGGUUUGAAUUCCUACUCUAUCGUCACCAAUGAUCAGCAUAUCAUCCACAUAGAGAAGAAGCAGAAUAAUUCCAGAUGAAAAGUUUUUUAUGAAUAAUAGGAAAUCACAUGAGCUACUGGAAAAGCCAAGUCUUCCAAGGGUGCCGCUAAAUUUUGAAUACCAAACUCGAGGAGUUUGUUUAAGACCAUAGAGUGCUUUCUUUAGGUGACAGACUUUGUUUGGAAGAUGAUCAUAGCCAGGAGAAGGAUACGUGUAUACUUCGUCAGAAAGAUCACUGACGGGAUUUUUGUAUCAAUGCAAGUUUAAAAUCCGAAUUCAUACCCGUUGACUGCAAGUGUAUAGGCCGAAAUCGUAAUGUAGGGUAUGUAUCGGGUCGAUCCCACGAGGAGCAAAUUAAACAAGUAUUAGGCCUUUAUUUGUCUCUAUUAUUUAGACUUACAAUAAAUCUGGGCAAGAAAAUUAUAAUGCUAUUGUCUACAAAUCUGGUUUAAUCAAUGUUAAAUGCCAAUGGAGAAAUUUCACUAAAGAUUGAAUCUAGAGAUGUAGAUUCCACUUAUGGCAUAAAUAACACAAAUGAAUAGAUUUACCUCUUAUUAUUAUUCUUGUUCAACUAGGGAUUCAUUUCCAAUAUUACUAAAUCUCAUUCUCAUGAUAAAAUGGCUGACAGGUUGUCAGCCUGUGCAAUAAUAAAACCUGCUCAAACUAAAAGUAAUUUCUGUAGAUAGCGGUGAGCAGGGUCGAAUCCACAGGGACUGGGAGUAAUUGUUUCUUUUCAAAUUCACAGUGACAAAGGGGGUGUUCUUGUGCAGAAUGUGACACUCAAAGGAAUUCAAAUAAAAUCUAAGAAACUACUAAAAAUUAAAUAACAAAUUACUAAAAUCAAACGAGUGAUAAUUAAGGAUCUAGCCAAGAAAUAACUUCAGCAAUGGUUCACCUAAUUGAUCAUCGAUAAGCAAAGGCAAUUCCAAUUAUUUAUCAAUAAAUAGGUUAUAACUGCCAAACAAGCGAUGACAGUCAACCCCUCCUUACUGUGUCGGUGAUCAAGGUACGCCCGUUAAUCACUGCUCUAAUUGAGAAAUAAUCCUAGGUACGCCCGUAGAAUUUAAUUCCCCAAUUGCCUUAAGUAUUAGAGGAGCCCUAUUCUAACCAAAUAACGCACUACCAGGGUUAUUUUAGAUUAGCCCGCGUAUUCCCCUGACACAAACCUAAUCAUGCCAGUUGUCACUAUUUUAGAGCAAUUAAACAAUUACGGAUUUAAUGCCCUAAUUGACAAUAGAUUACCCAAUCAACUAAUUAUCUGGAUCCAAGACAAUCAAUUAAUUAAAUAACCAUAAGCAUAGCAAUCAGGGAAUAUGCGGAUACCAAUAAAUAAAAGAAAAAGAUUAAAUUAAAACGAUCUCACAAUUUUAGAUGACCCAAAGCAUCCGUUGUCCCUUGACUAGAUAAGGGAAAUUAGUUCAUUGUUGCUAAACAAAGCCCACAAGAAAUUGUAAAGAGGGCCGCGGCCAUUAUCACAGAUGUUUGAAGAAUUCAAUUCGCAAGAACUAAAGGGGAAGAAAAGUCAAAGCUUUCCUCUUUGCUCCUGCCAUGCGUACUAAGACCCAAAGGAAAAGUCACCAAUAAUGCUCCUAAGCUACAGACGAAAGACUAAACAAAGCCAGUCAUCCUUUCCUCUGCUGCCGUUCUCUUUCUUUUUUUCCUUUUCUUGUGUGCGGCGGCCCUCCUUGCGUAGAGGACUCCGGAGGAAAAAGAAGCUCUGGCCCCUGCGGCGCUCCAGCCCUUUUUCUAGUUGUUGUCUUCAGUCGAAAUUACCAAAAAGGUCUUGCAUCUCCUUGUUCCAAAAAUACCCUGGAUGCCUGCUACUUGAAUUCUUUCCUGAUAACUGUCAAAUCGGCACUUAUUAUGGUAUUUUCGUUCUACUCCCUGAAAUACACGCAAAAUACUAAAAGUGAGUAGAAUCUAACAAUUAAUCCAGAUUGGGUCAGGUAAUAGGAGAAAUUAAUAAUAAAAUAAAUGAUAAAAUUGCAACCUAUCAAUGGCUUAGAGUUUUCCCUAUUUUCAUAGUGAAAUACUACUACUACUCUGUUUUGUUUCAUGAAAUGCUAAGUAAUCCACCUAAGGGUCCGUUUGUUUCGGGUGAAAAUGUUUUCCAGGAAAAGGGAGGUUCAGAACUGAUGCCUGCUGUGAUCAGUCAGGUGGUGGAAUAGUACAGAGAUGUUUUCGAAGAGCCUAAGGGAAUGCCCCCAACCAGGAGCCAUGAUCACCAGAUUGUGUUAAAAGAAGAAGCCAAGCCUUUCUAGGUAAGACCAUAUAGAUGUCCAUACGUACAGAAGACAGAGAUUGAGAGAUUGGUAAAAAAAUGCUGGAAAUAGGAAUCAUACAACCUAGUAGCAGUCCAUUUGCCUCCCCAGUGCUGCUAGUCAAGAAGAAGGAUGGGACAUGGAGGUUCUGUGUGGAUUACAGACAGCUAAAUGAGUUGAUAGUAAAGAAUAAAUUCCCUAUGCCCAAGAUUGAAGAGCUGAUAGAUGAACUACAUGGAGCCAAGUACUACACCAAAACUGACAUAAGAGCAGGAUACUUCCAAAUCAGAGUCAAGGUGGAAGACAUCCCAAAAACAGCUUUCAGAACUCACCAAGGACUCUAUGAGUUCAAGGUCAUGCCCUUUGGCUUGACCAAUGCUCCUGCCACCUUCCAAAGCCUAAUGAACCAGGUCUUUCAGGAGCAGAUGAGGAAGCAUGUCCUGGUAUUCUUUGAUGACAUCUUGGUUUACAGCCCAACCCUGGAGUUGCAUGUCAGGCAUGUAACUGAAGUACUGAAUUUCCUAAGGCAGCACCAACUAUAUGCUAAAAUGAGCAAGUGCUCCUUUGCUCAGCUGCAAGUGGCGUAUUUGGGGCAUAUCAUAUCAGUAGAAGGGGUGCAAGUUGACCCUAAGAAGGUAGAGUGCAUGGAGAGGUGGCGCAAACCAAAGAAUGUCAAACAGCUGAGGGGGUUCUUGGGAUUGACAGGCUACUACAGAAGGUUUGCAAUAGGGAGCGGAAGUUCAAUCAUUCAGUUGAUGAGAGCCCUUUGCUAUUCUCCAACCCUCAUUAUCUCGUCCCUUUCUUCGAGAUAUAUCUGUACAAGGAUGGUAAUAUUCUCAAUAUAGACUCUAUGCCUUGCCCACGAAUCCUCGCUACUCACCUGCCUUGUCAAUUCCUUCCUAGAAGCAUCUUGGAUUGUUCCAACUGUCGAAUCAUCUACCUGUGCCGAAACCCUUUGGAUGUGUUCACUUCAGUGUUGC
rnacentral:lncRNA from 1 species